UACGGGGGGAGCAAGCGUUGUCCGGAAUUACUGGGCGUAAAGAGCGCGUAGGCGUCCUGAUAAGUUUCUGGUGAAAUACUCCUGCUCAACGGGAGAAUUGCCAGAGAUACUGUCAGGAUUGAGUUCAGAAGAGGGAAGCGGAAUUCCUGGUGUAGCGGUGAAAUGCGUAGAUAUCAGGAAGAACACCAAUGGCGAAGGCAGCUUCCUGGUCUGAUACUGACGCUGUGGCGCGAAAGCGUGGGUAGCAAACAGG
rnacentral:rRNA from 1 species